rnacentral:rRNA from 1 species
UAUCUCUGUAGAGUCUGCAUAUCAAUAAGCGGAGGAAAAGAAACUAACUAGGAUUCCCUCAGUAACGGCGAGUGAAGCGGGAAGAGCCCAAAUUUGAAAUCUUCAAGGUUCUACCUUGACGAAUUGUAGUUUAAAGAAGUGUUUUCUGUUGGAGUUUUGGUAAAAGUUCUUUGGAAUAGGACAUCAUAGAGGGUGAGAAUCCCGUAUUUGACCAUUAUUUUCAGCUGUGUGAUACACUUUCAAAGAGUCGGAUUGUUUGGGAAUGCAGUCCAAAAUGGGUGGUAAAUUUCAUCUAAAGCUAAAUAUUGGCGAGAGACCGAUAGCGAACAAGUACCGUGAGGGAAAGAUGAAAAGAACUUUGAAAAGAGAGUUAAACAGUACGUGAAAUUGACAAAAGGGAAGCGUUUGACACCAGUGUUGUUUUCUCGAAAAUCAAUUAAAAAAGGCUGGAUUUUGUGUUGUAUUGACCUUAAAAGCUUUCUUCACUCUUUUCUUGUCUUUUUUAAUGCACUUUUCGUUUAACAAGUCAACAUCAGUUUCUUUUGUUGUAAAAGGAUCAUUGGAAGGUGGCUUUCUUUUCGGAGAAAGUGUUUAUAGCCUUUGAUCUCUGCAACCGGAGAGACUGAGGUCUGCAGCGUAGACUCUUCGGGGUUAGAUACAUUUGUGCUAAGCUAUAGCUUUUUAUAGACAACUUGUUGGCUAUAAUUAGUCUUGUAGCUUACUCGCUUAUGCUAUUUUACCUACGCUUAGGAUGUUGAUGUGAUACUGCGAGCA